UCCUAGGUGGAGCGGGGGUGUCGUGGACCAGCGAGGGUGGCGCGCUGCGUUGACGCGGUGCUCUGCUUGGCUGUGUGUCGGUGUGGCCUGCCCCCCUGUAGAGGGGUGUUGUAGGCCACCCGUUAAAGCGAGGGAAACC
rnacentral:SRP_RNA from 2 species